rnacentral:rRNA from 1 species
ACGCACGCUGGCGGCGUGCCUAAUACCUGCAAGUAGAACGCUGAAGAGAGGAGCUUGCUCUUCUUGGAUGAGUUGCGAACGGGUGAGUAACGCGUAGGUAACCUGCCUUGUAGCGGGGGAUAACUAUUGGAAACGAUAGCUAAUACCGCAUAACAAUAGGUGACACAUGUCAUUUAUUUGAAAGGGGCAAUUGCUCCACUACAAGAUGGACCUGCGUUGUAUUAGCUAGUAGGUGAGGUAACGGCUCACCUAGGCGACGAUACAUAGCCGACCUGAGAGGGUGAUCGGCCACACUGGGACUGAGACACGGCCCAGACUCCUACGGGAGGCAGCAGUAGGGAAUCUUCGGCAAUGGGGGCAACCCUGACCGAGCAACGCCGCGUGAGUGAAGAAGGUUUUCGGAUCGUAAAGCUCUGUUGUAAGUCAAGAACGAGUGUGAGAGUGGAAAGUUCACACUGUGACGGUAGCUUACCAGAAAGGGACGGCUAACUACGUG